GGGCACUGUCUCAGCCAUGAGCUCGGUGAAAUUGUAGUCGCGGUGAAGAUGCCGCGUACCCGCAACGGGACGGAAAGACCCCAUGAACCUUUACUGCAACUUAACAUUGGCAUCGGGUACACGGUGUGUAGGAUAGGCCGGAGGCUAUGAAGCGGCGUCGCCAGGCGUUGUGGAGCCACUGUUGAAAUACGGCCCUCUGUGUGCCUGGUGUCUAAUCCCUGAAAAGGGAGACAUUGUUUGG
rnacentral:rRNA from 1 species